rnacentral:rRNA from 1 species
AGUAAUGCCUAAGAAUCUGCCUGGUGUGGGGGAUAACGCUCGGAAACGGACGCUAAUACCGCAUACGUCCUACGGGAGAAAGCAGGGGACCUUCGGGCCUUGCGCUAUCAAAUGAGCCUAGGUCGGAUUAGCUAGUUGGUGAGGUAAUGGCUCACCAAGGCGACGAUCCGUAACUGGUCUGAGAGGAUGAUCAGUCACACUGGAACUGAGACACGGUCCAGACUCCUACGGGAGGCAGCAGUGGGGAAUAUUGGACGAUGGGCGAAAGCCUGAUCCAGCCAUGCCGCGUGUGUGAAGAACGUCUUCGGAUUGUAAAGCACUUUACGUUGGGAGGAAGGGCAGUUACCUAAUACGUAAUUGUUUUGACGUUACCGACAGAAUAAGCACCGGCUAACUCUGUGCCAGCAGCCGCGGUAAUACAGAGGGUGCAAGCGUUAAUCGGAAUUACUGGGCGUAAAGCGCGCGUAGGUGGUUCGUUAAGUUGGAUGUGAAAUCCCCGGGCUCAACCUGGGAACUGCAUUCAAAACU